rnacentral:tRNA from 1 species
GCGGCGGUAGUCUAGCCUGGUUCAGGACGUCGGCCUUCCACGCCGAAGGUCGCGGGUUCAAAUCCCGCCCGCCGCA